rnacentral:rRNA from 1 species
AUUGAACGCUGGCGGAAUGCUUUACACAUGCAAGUCGAACGGCAGCACGGACUUCGGUCUGGUGGCGAGUGGCGAACGGGUGAGUAAUGUAUCGGAACGUGCCCAGUCGUGGGGGAUAACGUAGUGAAAAUUACGCUAAUACCGCAUACGAUCUAUGGAUGAAAGCGGGGGAUCGCAAGACCACGCGCGAUUGGAGCGGCCGAUAUCAGAUUAGGUAGUUGGUGGGGUAAAGGCCCACCAAGCCGACGAUCUGUAGCUGGUCUGAGAGGACGACCAGCAACACUGGAACUGAGACACGGUCCAGACUCCUACGGGAGGCAGCAGUGGGGAAUUUUGGACAAUGGGCGAAAGCCUGAUCCAGCCAUUCCGCGUGCAGGAUGAAGGCCCUCGGGUUGUAAACUGCUUUUGUACAGAACGAAAAGGUUUCUACUAAUACUAGGAGCUCAUGACGGUACUGUAAGAAUAAGCACCGGCUAACUACGUGCCAGCCGCCGCCGUAA